rnacentral:misc_RNA from 1 species
AAGGAUAUAUACGGAACAGUUUCAACAGAAACUGACGGAAUAACGUGACAUAUUGUAUUCAGUUUUGAAUGCUCAUCCGAGUAUUCAUGAUUGUACAUUGAAAACUAGAUAAGUAAGUAAAAAUAGAUUUUACCAAGCAAAACCGAGUGAAUUAGAGUUUUAAAAGCUUUAUUCAUUUAAAUGAAUCGCUAGUAAUCGAUUUGCCUACGGCAAAGAAGAUUACUCACAUAAUUAAUAACGU